UACGGAAGGUCCGGGCGUUAUCCGGAUUUACUGGGCGUAAAGGGCGUGUAGGCGGUCUUGCAAGUCAGAAGUGGAAUUCCUGAGCUCAACUCGGGCGCUGCUUCUGAAACUGCAGGACUUGAGUGCUGGAGGGGAUAGCGGAAUUCCUAGUGGAGCGGUAAAAUGCGCAGAUAUUAGGAAGAACACCGGUGGCGAAGGCGGCUAUCUGGACAGUAACUGACGCUGAGGCGCGAAAGCGUGGGGAGCAAAC
rnacentral:rRNA from 1 species